UGAUUGUAGAGGAGGAGGAGCAGCCAUGGGAGAGUCCCAAGGGCCACAGAGAGGCCAGGAAGGCUGCAUUUUGUGGCCAGGCCUCAAGUUCCCAACCCCGGCCUAACCCUUACACAGAGAGCAGGCUGCAAUACCUUUGAGGCAGGGCCUGGAUUUUUGCCAUGUACUCCUAGAGGUGCCUUGCCUUGGCACACCUAAAGUGACCCAAAAUUCCAUAACAGCAACUCCUUGUUGUGGGGUUGGGUUCAAAUGGGACCUGGGUUCAAAUUGUAGUGAGGUGGAUGAGGGGAAAGAAUGACAGCCCUUCCCCCUCCCAAUAACAGUGUGUGGUAUCUCUAGUGUAUCAGCUUCUGUUGUCACCCUGAAAGGAAACAGCAAAUAAUAGGCAACUUAACAGAAUCGGAUGUGGGGGGGUGGGAUAGUGAGGGAGCAAGAGGCAGGCAUACAAUUUGAACCACACCAGGAGUUUGGAUGGAGGCCAAAUAACCGAGUUAGACCCAGGUGAGCAGUCUGAAUCUCUCAAACUUGGAAUCCAGGUGUAGGCCUCAAGCUCUGCUCUUAGUGGGAGCUUUGGCUGAAUCGGUGUUGUUAUGCGAAGGCAGAGGCUGCUCUCUCCACCACAGCCUUCUCUCAAUAGUUCCUUCUAUCUCCCUCCUGCUUUGUCAAUGUUUUAAACUCUCCCUUCCCAUUCUUCCUCUCUCCUCAGAAGCUCCUCCACCUCUCGCUCGAUCCCCUCGGAGUCUCCUCAGCCAGAACCCUUGUGGCAUAUCCUAAGGGUCAAAAAAGGGCUGUGCUCAAGGCACCCUUCUGUAACUCUGCAUCUCGCUGCCUAAAAUCAUUCCUGGGGUUGUCUUUGCUUUCUGCUCCUUCCUUUUUAUCUGACUUCAGACCUUGGCCUGGACCCUGAACUUCAGGAAUAUGUUAUCUUUGAUUGGAAUCAUCACUGCAUAUAAUCAGCUUGGAGAUAAACCUGUUGGAUAAAACUGAAGCAUACAAGACGGAGCAAAAUGGGUGCCAAAGCAAAUCUUACAAGAAGCCAAGAGGAAGUCAGUUCCGUGCAACUCAGACCAACUGGCUUUCCCCUCAAGAGACAAAAAUCCAUGUUCUUUAAUAACGGAAUGUAAGGAAGAUUUAUGGACUACUCUGAGCUUCCUUUUGAGCAGCCAGUUCAACAAUGACUCAUUCGUGAAGAAUCUUCUUUCACAGACUGGAGUGUGCUAUGCUGUGCAUCUAUGUAGAGGUGCCACCAGUCACUUUUGCUGCAAGACGCUAUGUCGCUACCCCUUUUGGAAAUGGUUACAUAUCUGUGCAGGUAAA